GUUUGCAUAUCAAUAGCGGAGGAAAAGAAACCAACAGGGAUUGCCUUAGUAGCGGCGAGUGAAGCGGCAAAAGCUCAAAUUUGAAAUCUGUCACCUUUGGUGUCCGAGUUGUAAUUUGAAGAUUGUAACCUUGGGGUUGGCUCUUGUCUAUGUUUCUUGGAACAGGACGUCACAGAGGGUGAGAAUCCCGUGCGAUGAGAUGCCCAAUCCUAUGUAAGGUGCUUUCGAAGAGUCGAGUUGUUUGGGAAUGCAGCUCUAAGUGGGUGGUAAAUU
rnacentral:rRNA from 1 species